AUUCCAGCUCCAAUAGCGUAUAUUUAAGUUGUUGCAGUUAAAAAGCUCGUAGUUGGAUUUCGGAUGAAUGCGACCGGUCCGUCGUUACGAUGUGUACUGGUUGCGUCCAUCUUGCUGUCGGGGACGCGCUCCUGGCCUUAACUGGCUGGGACGCGGAGUCGGCGAAGUUACUUUGAAAAAAUUAGAGUGUUCAAAGCAGGCUUACGCUCUGAAUACAUUAGCAUGGAAUAACGCGAUAGGACUCUGGUCUUAUUGUGUUGGUCUUCGAGACCGGAGUAAUGAUUAAGAGGGACAGUUGGGGGCAUUCGUAUUUCAUUGUCAGAGGUGAAAUUCUUGGAUUUAUGAAAGACGAACUUCUGCGAAAGCAUUUGCCAAGGAUGUUUUCAUUG
rnacentral:rRNA from 1 species